UAAUGAGUGGUUUCUUUGUGAUGAGGGU
rnacentral:sRNA from 1 species